rnacentral:rRNA from 1 species
GACGUAGGGCGCGAGCGUUGUCCGGAUUUAUUGGGCGUAAAGAGCUUGUAGGCGGUUUGUCGCGUCUGCUGUGAAAAUCCGGGGCUCAACCCCGGACUUGCAGUGGGUACGGGCAGACUGGAGUGUGGUAGGGGAGACUGGAAUUCCUGGUGUAGCGGUGGAAUGCGCAGAUAUCAGGAGGAACACCGAUGGCGAAGGCAGGUCGUCUGGGCCACUACUGACGCUGAGAAGCGAAAGCAUGGGGAGCGAACAGG